GCAACUGAUGAUGUCGUAACUCUGAACGAAUAUUUGAUAUACCUAAUUUUAUUCGCAGACGAUACCGUUUUGUUUGGGAAAUCACCUGAUAUUUUACAACAGUUACUUAAUAAAUUGUCAACAUAUUGUAUAAAAUGGAAUAUUGAAGUAAACACUGACAAAACCAAAGUGAUUGUAUUUAGAAAUGGCUGGCAGCGGGUUAAGAAUAAUUUUUUUCUAUGACAACAACGAA
rnacentral:lncRNA from 1 species